GCCGCGCCCUCGCGUUCAGCUCGGUCCCGCGCCCACCCUCGGCUCGGCGGCGGCUCGUGCCCCGCGCUGGCUGCUGCCAGCCUCUCUCGUGUGUUCCAGCUCUGUGCUGAGGUCCUCAGGGUGUGCAGGGAGCGCCCUCAGAGAGGGAAAAACAAAAAUUAGGCUGAAAUAAGCGGUUCCAGCCCUGCGUGGGAGCUGGGGCUGGCAAACAGAGGCUGCCAGAAGCCAAAUUUGGGAAGAUGGAUGCUGAGAGGUGGCCAAAACCAAAAUCUGCACCAUACAGAAAAGUUCAACAGGCGGGUAUCGAUUUCAAAGACACUUUCAUCAGAAGAGAUUUGUCAGCCGUCGGAUGGAAUUUCUGGUCGCGACCAGGAGGAGAUGGCAAGGUUGGAGUAUCAGGUAGCGCCACCGGCGGGGAACUCACCUGGAAUGUGGAAAAUCAAGGUUCAGGCCUAGGGACUUGAACGUG